GCUGAACAUGCCUCUGUAUAUUAAUGUGUGAUCUCACGUCUUCUUCAGGCACAUCGGUCACGUUGGCUGGGAUCCAAACACAGGUUUUGAUCUCAACAACUUGGACCCUGAGCUGAAGAACCUGUUCGACAUGUGCGGCAUCUCAGAGGCUCAGCUGAAGGACAGAGAGACGUCCAAGGUCAUCUACGACUUCAUCGAGAAGAAGGGAGGAGUGGAGGCGGUGAAGAAGGAGCUGAGGAGGCAGGCGCCUCCUCCUCCUCCUCCUCCUCCUCCUUCA